UAUAAUUAUAACGAUGUAUAUAUCUUUUAAAAAAUUUGUUUAUUUUUAAAAAUAGAAUGUUAGCGUAAAUAAAUCGCGAAUAUUUAUGCUCUAAAUGAUUCAUAACUGUUAAAUCUUCGGCAUAUCUCUCUAAAAAACAGAACAGUCCAUAAAAAAACACAACUUCAUCGCAAAUGAUUACCUCGUUGUUAGUUGGAGCACGAUUCAUUAAACAUGCUCUGCAAUUGUGCCUCGACUAUGUUAUGUAAUUUACCUUCUUUAAGAUAGUAAUUUUAAACGAAAACGUGCUUAAACAAUUUCACGAAUAUUCUUCUUUCUCCUGUUUUUGCUAGCAGAAAAAACUCUUCCAUUCAAGAUGCGAACUUCAUGCGAAUAAUUAGCCAUUCGGAUAACAUCGGAUACAGUCCACAAUUAAAAUAGAUAAUUACCGUGUAUCGUAAUCUGGCUUUAUGGUCUGAAUCUUGAUAUUUUAUGGAUCGAGUAAGAAAAACUAAUGAUAUGCCUCUGCAUAUUCGAACGAAGAAAUAGAUCGUAAAACGAAUGGAAAUCAUUUGUAAAUAAAUUCAAACAAAAUUAUACACCGCGAAAAUAAAUUUCCUCAAUUAAAAUUCUUUCGAAUUAA